GCCUCUUUUUUUUAAACUGUGAUUUUAUAGUCAUAAAGAGUGGCCUCAGAAUACUUUUCCCAGCAUAUAUCUUUUAGAGACUUAUAAUUCACAAGGAAUAUCUCCUGAGGAUUGGAAUUAAGAUCACUUAGUAAUACAACCAGAUGACCAGUCCUGCUCCAGAAGACUUUCACUUUGGUUCAUCCUAUAAGCAUGCAACAAUGGCAUGCUUAUUGUGCUUCCAUCAUGUGCUUAUGGGGAUAUCCAGUGUGGUGGAAGGCUGUGCUUCUGUCCUUCACAUGUUCCAGAGCAGUGCUCCAAAGUGAACUCUAAGGAUGCUUAUUACCAAUUAUCCUGAUUGGCAUUUUUGUCAACUUGACACAAGAUAGUGUCAAAUGGGAAGAGGGACCUCAUGUGAGAAAAUGUCCACAUCAGAUUAGGCAGUGGUUCAUUUUCUUGAUUGAUGAUUAUUGUGGGGGUGCCCAGCCCACUGUGGGUGGUGCCACACCUUGAGCAACUGGGCCUGGGGAUUAUGAGAAAGCAGAUUAAAGUAAGCCACAAGCAGUAAGCCAUUCAGCAGCACCACGCUAUGGCUUUUGCAUUGGAUUCUGCCUCCAGAUUUCUGCCUUGAGUUCCUGCUUCAACUUGUCUCAGUGAGAGAGUACAACCUGAGAGAUGUCAGAUGAAAUAAACCCUUUUCUCCCUAAGUUGCUUUUGAUAGUGUGUAUUAUUAAAGCAACAGAAACCCUGAGUGAGACACCAAGUAAAACUGUGGUAUAAGAAUCUUAACCUGUGUCCUGUUGGCACUAACUUUUUACACCAGGGUUUCAGUGACUUGAAGAAAAUAGAGAAAAUAGAGUUCCAAAUGGUGAAAAAUGUUCAGAAGAGAAAACAUGAAUAACUGCUAUAGAAACACACACACACACACACACACACACACACACACACACACACACACACACACACACACACUGCGUUCCCCGCUGUGACAUUCGUAGUAUCAAGAGAAGCACAAUUUAGGAAGGACAGUCGGUCACCAGCCUGGGAAGAACACAGCCUGAAGAAAGCAUAUUAGAGAAUUGUAUCUAGUAGAAUCUGCCCAGCUAGGACAACCCCUAACGGCAAAAUUCUUUUCAUUGCUCCCUUAUAACUGUAAUUUUGCUACUGUUAUGAAUCAUAAGGCAAAUAUCUGAUAUGCGGGAUAUCUAAAGUGAGACCUCUGUGAAAGGGUCAUGUGAUCCCCACCUACAGGUUGAGAGCUGCUGAUGUACAUACAGUGUGAUUGGAACCUAGAGUGCACAGGAACCACUAAUGGAAAGCCUCUAAGUUCAGAUAAGCAAUAAUAAAAUUGUGAUUGUGGAGAUUUCUACAAUUUUUUUGACCAACGUGUACUUCAUUGGAACUAUGCUAACUGACCUGAACUAAGCUCCAUUCUCAAGAUGACAGAGCAGGAUGCUUAGAAAGCACCCUUCUUUUUGUCUGUCGGCUGCUGGUGGCAGAAGGCGUCUGCAGUGGGUCUGAUAGUGAUGUGCAGGCCCCAUCUUUGGCUUGAUCUCAGAAAAUAAGGAGCUCAGUCAAGAGGUCUGAGUGAUGGGUACACAGAGCAGAACCCUCGAGUCAGGGGUCUUCUAAAUGCUUGUUUCUAAAGCAGAGCCUUCAUCCAGUGGCUGAAAGAAGCAGAGGCAAACACCCACAACUAAACACUGGAC